rnacentral:misc_RNA from 1 species
AACCAUAGAAACCUGCGGAGUACCUGGGAGGGAUCAUUAUAGUAUAUGGAAUCUCCAUUCUAUAAACCCACUCUGCGUAUCUUGUAACUGUUGCUUCCAUGGGACUUGGUUCCGCCACACCGGCUUCACGGCUGGUGAGCGCCCAUGGAAGGAGAAACAAAACUCUUCUUUGAAAUGUAGUCAGUCUGAACAAGUUUUUAUAAACGUUAAAACUUUCAACAACGGAUCUCAGAUCGGAAG